AAGAAUUUUACACUCUUGAGCAUUACUUUACACCGUUGACAGGGUCUAUAUUGGAGACUUUCACCUAUAGAUUCAGACUACUUUAUUUGUGUAGAAUUUUGGUGAUGCCAUUAGUGUAUGGUGUAUCAGGCUGAAAUUCUCUUUCUUUAUUGGAUUAUAAGAUCUUGUAGGAUACUCAUAAAAAGAAUCACAGUCAGCCUGCUGGUGGGAGGUAAGAAGUACUCG
rnacentral:misc_RNA from 1 species